GAGCCACCAGGUGAGACAUCUAACUACCCCUAGGCUGCCACAGUGGGUAGGCUACUGGGAGCUAUGUCAGCUGACAAUCCCUCCUGCAUCCAGCCUUCCAGCCAUCCCUGUCAAGGCACCAGACACUUGAAAGAUUCACUUGAAGAAGCCCACAGGGACGGGUGACACUGAGGAAACAAAACCCAGGCCCCCCGGCCUCCGACUGAGCCGUGCAGAGCAUGCUGGGAGAUCACCUCCACCUGAGGAGCACAAAAGACCCCAGGAGUGGAGGAAGCUGGCCUGAGGCCAACCGGAUGUAACAGACUUGCUGGGCCCAAGGAGGGAGGUCUGGUGAUGGAGCCUCGAGUACAUAUCCUUCCAAUCCUAAGAGAUGAGCCUGGUGGACUUGAAUUACUGACAACCCACAGCAGAAGCUGAAGAGAAAGGGUAUAGAUUGCCAAAUGCCGGGACUGGAGUCUUGGCUUUCUGAAGAUCUUUUCCAUUACCUCUGCAGCAAGAAUGACAUCUUCUAAAGACUCAGGAUGGCCUCUAAUCUUCAUGGCCUAAUUCCCUGAUCCUCCAACCAGGAGGCCCCCCCAGGCCUGAAAGAAGUGUUUGUAAAGUUCCCUCCCACAUUAUACCAGGGUUGGUCUCACCAAUGGCAUACAGCAGAAGUGAUGGUGUUUCACCUCUGAGAUUAGAUAACAAAAGAAAUUGCAGUCAAGCCUUCAAAUGAGACGACAGCCCAUCUGACUACUUGACUGCCAUGUCAUGAGAGACUCUGAAGCAGAACCAUGCAGUUAAGCUGCUUCCAGAUUCUUGACCUUCAGAAACUGUUCUUUGCAGAUGAGGCCGCUUCUGCAUUGUUAAGAAGUUCCAUGGAUUCUCAUGCACUGUAAAGUUGAAGAAUCACUGUUCUCCACGAUUUUGUGUCUGUACUGGAGAAGUUGGCUCAGAGACGAAGAAGUGACUGGAACACAAUCAUCUGGCAAAAUCAACUGAGAAAAAUGGAAAAAAAGUACCACCUGGCUUCCUUGCUAGUAAUAUUUUUAGUGGCAAUAAUACCCAAAUAAUGUGGAUCCCAAUCAAGGGUUGAAGAGAGACCUUUUGGGAGGAGUUUAAAGGGGGAAUGUCCUUGAGUAUGUGGAAGAAAAUUGAGGAUGGUAAAGUGUUCACUGGAAGUGACAUGGGGUGAGCCAUGAAAUGCAUCCUCAAUAACAUCCUUUGAUAGACUCAGAUAAAGAAUGGAAUUCCUUUUC